GAGUCGGCAGCUGAAGACGGGCUCUCGGUGGGUGCCGGAGAGAAGAAGAUGAAGAAGAGGAUCAAGAAGCAAAGAUAGUUACGACAAAUGACCCACUUUCGUCACCCAAGCAAGACGGUUAAAGAGAGUGAGCUGGGCCCUCGGAGCCAGGAAGACAGGUAGAGCCGUCCAAGAGAGGACUUGGCAGCUGAAGACGGGCCCAUGGUGGGUUCCAGAGGUUGGAUGAAGACGGGCCCUCGGUGGGUGCAGGAGGACGGAGAGAGGAUGAAGAUAAGCAUCUGCCAAUGGUAGUUAUGACAAAUGCAGAACAGGAUCACUGAAAGCCAAGGGAUCUCUGGAAAAGAAGCCUAUCCUUGUCACAGG